ACGGCAGCGCGGGCUUCGGCCUGGCGGCGAGUGGCGGACGGGUGAGUAAUGCAUAGGAAUCUGCCCAGUAGCGGGGGACAACCUGGGGAAACUCAGGCUAAUACCGCAUACGCCCUACGGGGGAAAGCGGGGGACCUUCGGGCCUCGCACUAUUGGAUGAGCCUAUGUCAGAUUAGCUUGUUGGUGGGGUAAAAGCCUACCAAGGCGACGAUCUGUAGCUGGUCUGAGAGGACGAUCAGCCACACUGGGACUGAGACACGGCCCAGACUCCUACGGGAGGCAGCAGUGGGGAAUAUUGCACAAUGGGCGAAAGCCUGAUGCAGCAAUGCCGCGUGUGUGAAGAAGGCCUGCGGGUUGUAAAGCACUUUCAGUAGGGAGGAAACAGUAACGGAACAAUACCCGUUGCCUUGACGUUACCUACAGAAGAAGCACCGGCUAACUCUGUGCCAGCAGCCGCGGUAAUACAGAGGGUGCAAGCGUUAAUCGGAAUUACUGGGCGUAAAGCGCGCGUAGGUGGUGUGGUCAGUCGGAUGUGAAAGCCCCGGGCUUAACCUGGGAAUUGCAUUCGAUACUGCCAGACUAGAGUGUAGUAGAGGGAAGCGGAAUUCCAGGUGUAGCGGUGAAAUGCGUAGAUAUCUGGAGGAACAUCAGUGGCGAAGGCGGCUUCCUGGACUAACACUGACACUGAGGUGCGAAAGCGUGGGGGAGCAAACAGGAUUAGAUACCCUGAUAGUCCACGCCGUAAACGAUGUGUGCUAGACGUUGGGGGGCUUAGCCCUUCGGUGUCGCCGCUAACGCAAU
rnacentral:rRNA from 1 species